CUACAUAUAGAGAAAUAACAGCCACGGUCACUGUGGGCUCUGGAGAGUUUAGUACUGCUUUUAGUUAUACGAUGUUCCUUCCAGUUCUGCUGCUGCUGGCAGCUUCAUCCUAUGUGGAAUGUGCAGUAGAGCUCACUCAGGACACCUCAGUGAUGUUAAAGCCUGGAGAUUCUUUAAUCCUCAGCUGUAAAGUAUCCGGUUACUCAGUUACUGAUAGCAGCCACGCCACAGCUUGGAUUCGACAUCCUGCAGGGAAAUCUCUGGAAUGGAUAAAUGACAUUUGGGGGGGUGGAAAAAUAGGUUAUAAAGAGUCUCUAAAAAGCAAGUUCAGUGUUUCUAAAGAUGCCUCCAGCAGCACGGUGACACUGAGAGGACAGAACAUGCAGACUGAAGACACAGCUGUGUAUUACUGCGCUCGUAAUGCACACAGUGACACAACAAGCUGCAGUGCUGCACAAAAACCUCAUCACAAUUCACUUCUUUAAUUAAAUAAUAACUAC